AUGAGAUUUCCCAAUAAGGCCAAGUUGGUGGAGCUUAAAAACUUUGGUAAAUUCACUCUACUUGGCACAGGGGCUAUGGUGGAAGUGGACUUUUGGAGUCCAGAUGAUAAAGCAAAAGGAAAACUCCAUUCAGUUUGGAUAAAAAUGUGGGGAGUGCCUGAUACCCUGAGACAUUAUUUGGGUGUGUGUGAAAUUGGCUCAGCUUUGGGCCCUGUGGUUGAAGUGGAUGUAGAACAUAUUCAUUCCAAGGAAGAAAUUAGGGUGAAAGUGGGAGUGAGGGACUUGCACAAAAUCCCUGCUGGCACUGAGAUCACUACAAAAGACCUGCUGCUAUAUGACAUAGGCUUUGAGUUUGAUUCUUUUGCAGAACAGGGAUGGUACAAGUUUGAUGAGGGGAAUAAAAGGAAAUUUUUUGACUACCUUGAUCUAGAAAUCCUGAAAUACAGAGAGAGAAUGACAUGCAGAAGAAAAGCAAACAAUAUGAGACUUGGAAACCAAAUCUCAUUCUGGGGAGCCUGGGGCUAA
rnacentral:rRNA from 1 species